UACGUAGGUGGCAAGCGUUAUCCGGAAUUAUUGGGCGUAAAGCGCGCGCAGGUGGUUUCUUAAGUCUGAUGUGAAAGCCCACGGCUCAACCGUGGAGGGUCAUUGGAAACUGGGAGACUUGAGUGCAGAAGAGGAAAGUGGAAUUCCAUGUGUAGCGGUGAAAUGCGUAGAGAUAUGGAGGAACACCAGUGGCGAAGGCAACUCUCUGGGACGGUACUGACGCUGAGACGCGAAAGCGUGGGGAGCAAACAGG
rnacentral:rRNA from 1 species